rnacentral:rRNA from 1 species
CCUACGGGUGACAGCAGUGGGGAAUAUUGCACAAUGGGGGAAACCCUGAUGCAGCGACGCCGCGUGAGUGAAGAAGUAUUUCGGUACGUAAAGCUCUAUCAGCAGGGAAGAAAAUGACGGUACCUGACUAAGAAGCCCCGGCUAACUACGUGCCAGCAGCCGCGGUAAUACGUAGGGGGCAAGCGUUAUCCGGAUUUACUGGGUGUAAAGGGAGCGUAGACGGCAGCGCAAGUCUGGAGUGAAAUCCCAUGGCUUAACCAUGGAACUGCUUUGGAAACUGUGCAGCUAGAGUGCAGGAGAGGUAAGCGGAAUGCCUAGUGUAGCGGUGAAAUGCGUAGAUAUUAGGAGGAACACCAGUGGCGAAGGCGGCUUACUGGACUGUAACUGACGUUGAGGCUCGAAAGCGUGGGGAGCAAACAGGAUUAGAUACCCGAGUAGUC